rnacentral:lncRNA from 1 species
GGAGAGUUGCGGGUCCGUAGAUAACAGGAGCCACGCGCAUUAAUGGUGGAGUAAGCCGGAGAUCCGCAUUAAUUGUUGAGUGAACUGGGGGUUUGCACGGGUCAUGCGCAAUAAAUGCCGGGGCAGUGGCAGGACAUGGCCCUCGGCCGGACCUCGGAGGGGUACGGCCGUAGUAGGUGGUUGACAAGAGUAGACCUCGGGUGUCGGGAGUUUUCCGGGUCGGAGGUUCUGAGGUCGGAUGUUCCGAGGUCGGACGCCGACUUCGGCUGUCCAAGGUCGGCGGUUGUGCGACUCCUUAGGGGUAAUUGUGUCACUGGGGGAAAAAACCAUAUUCCCCCAACACGUACUAUCCUCUUUUCUUGAUUUUGGCCAUACUUUUUCCUCCUCCUCCUUUGCCUAAUGUUUCCUUCAUCUCUGUAGCAUACUGUUUCGAGGCAUAUACUG